rnacentral:rRNA from 1 species
UACGUAGGCAGCAAGCGUUGUUCGGAAUUACUGGGCGUAAAGAGUGUGUAGGCGGUGCUCUAAGUUUGGUGUGAAAUCUCCCGGCUCAACUGGGGAGGGUGCGCCGAAAAACUGGAAUGCUUGAACGUGGGAGAGGAAAGCGGAAUUCCUGGUGUAGCGGUGAAAUGCGUAGAUAUCAGGAGGAACACCUGCGGUGUAGACGGCUUUCUGGACCAUUGUUGACGCUGAGACACGAAAGCGUGGGUAGCAAACAGG